GACGAACGCUGGCGGCGUGCUUAACACAUGCAAGUCGAACGGUGAAGCGCCUUCCUUUUUGGUGGGUGUGGAUGAGUGGCGAACGGGUGAGUAACACGUGAGUAACCUGCCCCCUUCUUCUGGAUAACCGCAUGAAAGUGUGGCUAAUACGGGAUAUUCUGGGUCUGUCGCAUGAUGGGUCUGGGAAAGAUCUUGUUUCGGUGGGGGAUGGGCUCGCGGCCUCUCAGCUUGUUGGUGGGGUGAUGGCCUACCAAGGCGGUGACGGGUAGCCGGCCUGAGAGGGUGAACGGUCACACGGGGACUGAGACACGGCCCAGACUCCUACGGGAGGCAGCAGUGGGGAAUAGUGCACAAUGGGCGCAAGCCUGAUGCAGCGACGCCGCGUGAGGGAUGGAGGCCUGCGGGUUGUGAACCUCUUUCGCCAGUGAAGCAGGCCUGCCUCGUUUGUGGGUGGGUUGACGGUAGCUGGAUAAGAAGCGCCGGCUAACUACGUG
rnacentral:rRNA from 1 species